rnacentral:lncRNA from 1 species
AACUUUUUGGUAACAAUUUAGACAUUUUAAGUACAAAUAAUAUACUUUUUUUUUUCUUUUUUUUCCCCAGAUGUGGUUGCAUCAAACAGAUCUAUUUCUGCAGCCAGUCCUAGGAUCUUACAAAGGUCAUGUUUCUUCUCUUAUUUUGAAGAAUCCUGACAUAGUUGAGAUUAGAAGAGCUUUAACAGAGGAGGCUGGAAGAGGCUUGGCCUGAGUGACUACUGAAAGGAUACCUGAAAGGGAGGAAGCUGGAAUACUUUGUUGUACUGUGGAGGAAUAUGAAAUGAGUUUGUUAUGGAAAGAUCAGAAUCCUUAACCUACUGGAUUUUGACAUGCUGUUUGAAACAUAGACUCGCAGUGCUGCCCUUUGGAAAAACUGAACCUUAGCGUAAGUGUACUGAACAUGCACAAAGUUUGUUUUUCUAGGGUGAAUAAACAGCAACAUUGUUACA